AUUAUUCGCUAUAUUAUAGGCUAUGAGUCUAUUAGUUAUUCAAUGACAAUAAAACUGCAAUAAACCUCCAUUUAAUAAACAUAUUUGUUGUUUUAAAAUGUAAUAGAAUUGUAAAUGUUUCUAAUAAAAGAUCAAAUUAAUGAUCACAAUUCAGCCUCUUCUUUCCUCAGUAGCUGUCAGUAAAACAUUCUACCCCAGGUUUCAGUUAAGAAACGUAUAGAUUUCACAAGAAAUGUAAUUUUUAUAUUAUUCAUUUCAAAGAAAUGUCUAAUAAUCAGAACUAAAAACUUUCCUUUCACUCCAAUUUGGUUUCAGUUAUUAAUGCAAAUGGCUAUAUAGCAUUUGUUCCGCAAAAACGUUGUAAUAAUAAUAAUUACUAAUAUUAUUACCAUUAUUAUUAAAAUGCUACGUUAAGAUUGAAUUCUGCAUUUUUAAAACGCAUUGUUUUCCGUAUUAUCUGUUGGAAAUAGAAUAGCUACGCAUUUAUAUUGUAUAGCUGCUGACAGACGUAAACGUUUGCGUUCACGCUGAGCAUCACUCGCGCACGCUCUCUGAAUUCCUUGGAGUUGCCGGGUGGCAUUUGACUGAGGUUUUUUUAAUGGUGUGUCUCUGACCGGAAAUAACGGUUGUGCGCGCACCGGAACAGUGGGAUUCAUAAAAUGGUACAGUAGUGACCCCACGCGUAAUCACGCAUUGCUCAUGGGAGAGUCCGUGCAGCUUUCAGCACCGAUGCCCUCUAAUAGGAUCCCACGAGAAGCGUCUCAUAUGGCCCACUGGCGCCUCCGGAGGGGCACGUGAAAUGGAUACUCCGCGUCCCCAAACCCCAUGUUUUGCUAUUUUAAUGGUACCCACACCGGUCUCUAAUACAACCGACUAAUUCAAGCCAAAACAUCCCGAUCUGUGCGAGCUCUAAGUGGCGCGGCUGAAGGCGAGUCAAGAGUGGUUUUAAAUCAGGUGAUGAUUGCUAGGACACACGCGGGGCAUCCGCUCUCCUCUCAGCACGUUAGUUAGUGCCCAUCAUCCUUAGAUGCCCCUGGUUAUAUAGACGCAGAUUAAACGAAUGUGUAAAAUUGCAAAAAGAACGAGACGUCCACGUGCUAAUUGCAAGUUUAGAGAUUACCAAAGGAGGAGAACGAAUCUCCAGAGAUCUGCCCUCUGACACCUCAGAGUUCCGGUGUCUCACAAACAGCAUCCCUCUGCGCUCUCUACCACAGCAAAUUACCAAAGGUAUUUUAACCUUGCCAUAGUUCUUAACCUGACAGAUGAAUGGACAGAUCUUGUUUCUUGCAGCGGUGUAUCAGGUUUUCCAGAGAUUGCAGGUGUGAUAAAUCAAAGAUAGUUAUUUUCAGUUAUCUUAAACUGAACUUUUACAGAUGCUCACUGCAUGCAUGUAAAAAGUAUAAGGAUAUGGUAAGACUGUGAGUCUGUCUCUCUCUUCCUCCUUGGUGGGUGGGCUGGUCAAAAGAAAAUAAAAGCGGGAUAUAAGAUUAAUCGUCCUGUCCUGGAGCAGCGUUAUGUGUAGAGCUUAAAAUAGCCACUGUUUUCCACAGUCACUCUCAGACUGAGCUCUCUCAUCUUCCCUGACGCUAAAACCCUGAAAGUUCUUCUGGAGAAACGGUGACAGACAGCAACAGGGACACGGACGCAAGCGAGGAGAGAGACGAGGGCACGGAGUGCAGUCUGGGAUGAACGCUGACCUGGAGUGGAUCGGCUGUCAGAUAUUAUCAAGAUGUCUUGCAGCUGUGCAUGUGUUGUAUUUGCGGAUGUGUGUGUGGCUUGUGUUUAUGUUUGUGUGUGUUUUGGGGUAGGGAGGCUGGGAGUGGUGGUGUUACUCCCCUGCGUUCGAGCCGCUAACUGCCAAGGUCAAUGUCCACAGUUGGAAUGCACAAGUGCUUUGCCUUGUCGCGAAGUUUUAAGGAGGACGCAACAACGCCGGACACGAAUACUUUCAAAGAAAAAUCGUUUUAAACAAUGCAAGGGAGAUGCCGUGCUGCUGGGCUCUUUGGCAGGUGUUGCUCAAAACAAAGUGAAACCCUUACAGCGAUUGUCAGUGGUCAACGAUACAGCCUUUGUAAGUUAUUGCAUGAAGAUGGAAACAAUAAUUCAUCUUUGGGGUGUAUCUAUUGUUGUAAAUCCGUGAUGCGCUGAAUUAUUGCUUAAAACGGUGCAUUUUUUAAAGAAGACACAAACAUAAACGUUCAAAAUAAUGUUCUAAUAAACACAUUCCACGUUCAGAUGUCAAAGUACAUGAAGCCAUGGAAAUGCACACAUGCACAAACAC